rnacentral:rRNA from 1 species
UACGGAGGGUGCAAGCGUUGCUCGGAAUUAUUGGGCGUAAAGGGCAGGUAGGUGGUCUCAUUUGUCUGGGGUGAAAUCCUUGAGCUUAACUCAAGAAGUGCCUCGGAAACGGUGAGACUAGAGUUUUGGAGAGGGUCGUGGAAUUCCCGGUGUAGCGGUGAAAUGCGUAGAGAUCGGGAGGAACACCAGAGGCGAAAGCGGCGACCUGGACAAUGACUGACACUCAACUGCGAAAGCGUGGGGAGCAAACAGG